GAUGAACGCUGGCGGCGUGCCUAAUACAUGCAAGUCGAGCGAACAGACGAGGAGCUUGCUCCUCUGACGUUAGCGGCGGACGGGUGAGUAACACGUGGAUAACCUACCUAUAAGACUGGGAUAACUUCGGGAAACCGGAGCUAAUACCGGAUAAUAUAUUGAACCGCAUGGUUCAAUAGUGAAAGACGGUUUUGCUGUCACUUAUAGAUGGAUCCGCGCCGCAUUAGCUAGUUGGUAAGGUAACGGCUUACCAAGGCGACGAUGCGUAGCCGACCUGAGAGGGUGAUCGGCCACACUGGAACUGAGACACGGUCCAGACUCCUACGGGAGGCAGCAGUAGGGAAUCUUCCGCAAUGGGCGAAAGCUUGACGGAGCAACGCCGCGUGAGUGAUGAAGGUCUUCGGGUCGUAAAACUCUGUUAUUAGGGAAGAACAAAUGUGUAAGUAACUAUGCACGUCUUGACGGUACCUAAUCAGAAAGCCACGGCUAACUACGUG
rnacentral:rRNA from 1 species